rnacentral:rRNA from 1 species
GACAGAGGGUGCAAACGUUGUUCGGAAUCACUGGGCGUAAAGGGAGCGUAGGCGGCGUGGUAAGUCAGAUGUGAAAUCCCGGGGCUCAACCCCCGGAACUGCAUCCGAUACUGCCGUGCUCGAGGGUUGGAGAGGUAGCUGGAAUUAUCGGUGUAGCAGUGAAAUGCGUGGAUAUCGAUAGGAACACUCGUGGCGAAGGCGAGCUACUGGACAACAUCUGACGCUGAGGCUCGAAGGCCAGGGGAGCAAAAGGG